rnacentral:rRNA from 1 species
UUGGAGGGCAAGUCUGGUGCCAGCAGCCGCGGUAAUUCCAGCUCCAAUAGCGUAUAUUAAAGUUGUUGCGGUUAAAAAGCUCGUAGUUGAACCUUGGGCCUGGCUGGCCGGUCCGCCUCACCGCGUGUACUGGUCCGGCCGGGCCUUUCCUUCUGGGGAACCUCAUGCCCUUCACUGGGCGUGUUGGGGAACCAGGACUUUUACUUUGAAAAAAUUAGAGUGUUCAAAGCAGGCCUUUGCUCGAAUACAUUAGCAUGGAAUAAUAGAAUAGGACGUGUGGUUCUAUUUUGUUGGUUUCUAGGACCGCCGUAAUGAUUAAUAGGGAUAGUCGGGGGCAUCAGUAUUCAAUCGUCAGAGGUGAAAUUCUUGGAUUGAUUGAAGACUAACUACUGCGAAAGCAUUUGCCAAGGAUGUUUUCAUUAAUCAGUGAACGAAAGUUAGGGGAUCGAAGACGAUCAGAUACCGUCGUAGUCUUAACCAUAAACUAUGCCGACUAGGGAUCGGACGGUGUUAGUAUUUUGACCCGUUUGGCACCUUACGGGAAAC